CGUACACUCCUACGGGAGGCAGCAGUGGGGAAUAUCGCACAAUGGGCGCAAGCCUGAUGCAGCCAUGCCGCGUGUAUGAAGAAGGCCUUCGGGUUGUAAAGUACUUUCAGCGGGGAGGAAGGCGAUAAGGUUAAUAACCUUGUCGAUUGACGUUACCCGCAGAAGAAGCACCGGCUAACUCCGUGCCAGCAGCCGCGGUAAUACGGAGGGUGCAAGCGUUAAUCGGAAUUACUGGGCGUAAAGCGCACGCAGGCGGUCUGUCAAGUCGGAUGUGAAAUCCCCGGGCUCAACCUGGGAACUGCAUUCGAAACUGGCAGGCUAGAGUCUUGUAGAGGGGGGUAGAAUUCCAGGUGUAGCGGUGAAAUGCGUAGAGAUCUGGAGGAAUACCGGUGGCGAAGGCGGCCCCCUGGACAAAGACUGACGCUCAGGUGCGAAAGCGUGGGGAGCAAACAGGAUUAGAUACCCCAGUAGUCCCAUGAU
rnacentral:rRNA from 1 species